UUAAUUCGAUGCAACGCGAAAACCUUACCUACCUUGACAUGUCCGGAAUCCCGAAGAGAUUUGGGGGUGCUCGCAAGAGAACCGGAACACAGGUGCUGUAUGGCUGUCGUCAGCUCGUGUCGUGAGAUGUUGGGUUAAGUCCCGCAACGAGCGCAACCCUUGUCAUUAGUUGCCAUCAUUUGGUUGGGCACUCUAAUGAGACUGCCGGUGACAAACCGGAGGAAGGUGGGGAUGACGUCAAGUCCUCAUGGCCCUUAUGGGUAGGGCUUCACACGUCAUACAAUGGUCGGUACAGAGGGUUGCCAACCCGCGAGGGGGAGCUAAUCCCACAAAGCCGAUCGUAGUCCGGAUCGCAGUCUGCAACUCGACUGCGUGAAGUCGGAAUCGCUAGUAAUCGUGGAUCAGCAUGUCACGGUGAAUACGUUCCCGGGUCUU
rnacentral:rRNA from 1 species